UACGUAGGGUGCGAGCGUUGUCCGGAAUUAUUGGGCGUAAAGAGCUUGUAGGCGGUUUGUCGCGUCUGCCGUGAAAAUUCGAGGCUCAACCUCGAACUUGCGGUGGGUGACGGGCAGACUAGAGUGUGGUAGGGGGAGACUGGAAUUCCUGGUGUAGCGGUGAAAUGCGCAGAUAUCAGGAGGAACACCGAUGGCGAAGGCAGGUCUCUGGGCCACUACUGACGCUGAGAAGCGAAAGCAUGGGGAGCGAACAGG
rnacentral:rRNA from 1 species